UAGCCGAGUUUAUUGCCACGCUCUUAUUUUUAUACAUCACUGUGUUGACAGUGAUCGGAUACAAGAGUCAGGUUGACCCUGAUAAGGGCAGUGACGAAUGUGGUGGUGUUGGCAUUCUUGGCAUUGCUUGGGCUUUUGGUGGGAUGAUCUUUAUCCUUGUUUACUGCACUGCUGGUAUCUCUGGUAAGUUUCGACUCUCUUCCCCUCAUGUGUUUGAUAAAAAGGGGCAUUUUUUUCCAACUUCUUUUCAAAGUUGUUUUUCAUGGUUUACAGUAAAUGAGGUAAAAGAAAACCGGAUGAUGGUUUAGCAGAUGAGUAAUUGUUUAGCUGAAAUAAUGUGCAGGAGGACACAUCAACCCAGCAGUGACCUUUGGGCUUUUCUUGGCUAGGAAGGUGUCCUUAGUUCGAGCCAUAUUUUAUAUGGCUGCUCAAUGUUUGGGAGCCAUUUGUGGAUGUGGGCUAGUGAAGGCAUUCC
rnacentral:lncRNA from 1 species